rnacentral:rRNA from 1 species
AUUGAACGCUGGCGGCAGGCCUAACACAUGCAAGUCGAGCGGAGCGGCGGACGGGAGAGUAAUGCCUAGGAAUCUGCCUGGUAGUGGGGGAUCACGUCCGGAAACUGGCGCUAAUACCGCAUACUAUCAGAUGAGCCUAGGUCGGAUUAGCUAGUUGGUGGGGUAAAGGCCUACAAAGGCGACGAUCCGUACCUGGUCUGAGAGGAUGAUCAGUCACACUGGAACGGAGAAACGGUCCAGAGUACUAAGGGAGGCAGCAGUGGGGAAUAUUGGACAAGGGGCGAAAGCCUGAUCCAGCCAUGCCGCGUGUGUGAAGAAGGUCUUCGGAUUGGAAAGCACUUUAAGUUGGGAGGCGUUACCAACAGAAUAAGCACCGGCUAACUUCGUGCCAGCCGCCGCGGUAAUAC